rnacentral:SRP_RNA from 1 species
GCUGGGUGUGGUGGCGUGCACCUGUAAUCCCAGCUACUUGGGAGGCUGAGGUAGGAGAAUCGCUUGAACCCAGGAGGUGGAGAUUGCAGUGAGCCAAGAUUGUACCACUGCACUCCAGCCUGGACAACAGAGUGAGACUCUGUCUCAA